UGGUUUUCUCCUUGGUGUGUGAGUUUGUUUGGUGCUCUCCCUUUCUCCUUCGCCAUUUGAAUAGUGAUGUCAUUAUUCCAACGUCCUCUCACCUCUACUGAAAAAGGCCUACCAGUGACUCUCUCCUGGGUACUCAGCAACACUCUGGAGGGAAGUUGUGGUUUCAGCAAGGUGCAAGCAUCAUGAAACCGAGAGAGAACUGGCAGGGUGGAGAACUCACCCAAAGGAAGUCUUCCCUGACUGCUCUCCCUCAGCGGGCUGUAACUGUGUUCACUGGCCUCUAGUCCAGGAGCGCCUCAAGGCCAGGGCUGGGAUAUCACUCUUCUCUGGAUCCUCAGCCUGUAGCUGCCUGACUCAUGGUAGGUGAUGGGUUCUUUCUUUUUUUUGGCAUAUGUAUGUUGGGUGGUGUGAUGAAUGAAGAGGUGAGUGAAUGAACCUGGCCUAUGUAGGAGCCGUGACCAGGUGCAAUCCUACCAGCUGCCCAACUGUGCUCUCCUGAGUCCUAGCAAUAACCCUGGGGGCACUCAGCAGGGCCUGCUCAACCCCCGACCUGGACCAGCGAGACCCAUGCACGUCUCCCUCCCGUGGGGACAUCUACCUGCAUUUCCCAGUCUCAGGCUCAGUGUGUUUCAUUUCUCCAGCCAUGGGGCCCAGCAGGUGUCAGCAGCAAAGCAGAACUGGGUGGGACAGUCCUUCCUGAAGAUAAGGCAAAGUGCCCCAGCCCAGAGAUCAAUCCUGUAAAUCCACUUUCAAAGGGCUGAAUAAGGUGGGACAUCCCUGGUUCCUUCUUCAGCCAUAAAUCUCUAGGCUCAGAUGGUAACUGCCCUCCUCUUGACAAAGCUGUAAAGAGCACGGCAUAGCAGCAGUCGGGAAAGAGCAUGGACAAGAAAGGUCCUUCGGGUGGGGCAAGGCCCACCUGUCUUGCCCCCUAAGCUUUGCCUCCCUCCCUGCAUGGGCUUUGCUGUCUCUGUGGGGACCUGUUGGAGGUUGCAGGGCUUGACUGCCAGUGCCGGAGGCUUCUGUGAGCAUCUGUCCUGUAAAUACCCAGGCUCCAUUCUGCUGCUCAGCCCAUGCCGAUGCCACCUGACUUCCUGUGAAUGAAUGGAGCACUGUAAAAGGAGUCCAGCUCGGCUGCCCCCCAUGUGACUGUCUAAGAGUCACCUCCCCUCUCGAGGAGGCAGUGGGGUGGGUGGACUAGAUGAUCCCAGAGGCUGCUUUCAG
rnacentral:lncRNA from 1 species